rnacentral:rRNA from 1 species
GUGACAGCAGCCGCGGUAAUACGAAGGGGGCUAGCGUUGUUCGGAAUUACUGGGCGUAAAGGGCGCGUAGGCGGUGCUGUAAGUCAGGCGUGAAAUCCCCGGGCUCAACCUGGGAAUUGCGCAUGAUACUGCGGCGCUGGAAUGCGGGAGAGGAUGGCGGAAUUCCCAGUGUAGAGGUGAAAUUCGUAGAUAUUGGGAAGAACACCGGUGGCGAAGGCGGCCAUCUGGCCCGUGAUUGACGCUGAGGCGCGAAAGCGUGGGGAGCAAACAGGAUUAGAAACCCCUGUAGUCC